rnacentral:rRNA from 1 species
AACUUUCAACAACGGAUCUCUUGGCUCUCGCAUCGAUGAAGAACGCAG